UUGUAUUCUUCACCAUCUACUGGUAUAUUACGAACUCAAAAUGUGACCAGCACCCAGUUGGCUUGAUAGCUUAGUUGGUAGAGCUCUACACCGGUAUCUCAGAGGUCAUGGGUUCGAAUCCCGUUCAGGCCUGAAUUUUCUUCAGGCUUGAAUUUCACACCGUUUAAGUUGUGUGUAUUAUUGCGAUGAUCAAUCAUGUACUCAGAUUGCUCUUCUGUUGGCCCAAAUUUUGUGCUGGACCGGGCACCGUCCCUGGCUUUUCUUUUAACAGCUUUAACUUUUCUAUGAGAAUUAACGACCAUUAACUUCAAUGUGAAACUGUCUUUUUCUUCAAAAUCUAUUUUCUUUCUUUUUUUCAAAAGCUAGCAGACGAGAGUAAAAGCAAUUUGAUCGGUUUUCAAUCAGAAUUGCGGGCUUGAAGUUUACGGUGUGUGCGUGUGAACUGGCUGUUAGAGUAACAAGCGGGCGUGGCCUGACGGGAAGAAAGGAGUCAUUUUUUUUCGAGUAGAGGAAUGGGACGACUCGUGUUUACSAGCAUAGCAACAUGGCGYUAAAGAUCAGGAAGUUUUUGACGAACUAUUUGUCGCCGUGAAACUUAUUUCACGGWGUUAAAAACUCAUGGCAAGAGCUGGAGGCUCAGUCUUGACUCCUCACUUGCUGAAGAGCAGAACUGGUGAAUUUGAUCUUGAGAGCAUCAGUUUUUUGGAUCUCAGUGGAAUGGGUAGGUACAAGAAGCACAUAGUAGCUCAAAGUACAGGUACUUGUAGUGGAAUGUGGAUAGAAGACCCAGCUUGAGAGUUGGAGGUUUCAUUCAUCACAGUAUCUACCAACUAAAUAUAGAGAUGUGGAAAAUAUGCAUGUUU